GUCUCUAUGACUUGAAGCUAUUUCCUCUUCAGAUGUGUUGACUCCUUUGCCCAGUGCUCUCUGGGAGCAGUCUGCAGGGCACAGGAUAAUUAGGGGAGGUUAUACCAGAGCCACUGCCUUCUGAGCUAUAAAGACUUGGCCUUGGGACCUUCUCAGUCAGCCAGGAUGGGCUUAACCCUAUGGCAUCCUGGGAUCCCAGCAGCAGUCUGGUGAGGAAGGGGAGGGGGAUAGAGCCAGGAACUGGAGAGGGGACCUGGGCCAAGGCUGCAGGCCAGUGUCCCACCCGGGUGAGCAAAGAGGGUUUAAGAGUGGAGGUUCCAAUAGCCAGGGCAGCUUCAGGCUAACUGGGCUCCCGGGGCCAGGAAGCUGACUCACUCCAGACCCCCACUGGGUGUUGGGGUUGCCUGGGGGCCCCCAGGCAGUUCAGGCCUGACUUCCAAGCAGCACACCAGACACCAGAUGUAUUCCAGACUUGAUCUGUGUGCCGAGGGAAGGAGCUCACAUCCCACUCCUCCCCUGGGAGAAAGGACGGGGGACAGCUUGCUGCGGGGGAGGCACUUUCUUCAUGGGGGAUCUUGAAGCAUUUGCUUCAUUGGCCCAAGUUUCCCCUCGCCUGUGGGAAAGUGUCCCAGCUCUCCUCGCUGUGGUCGGCCUUCUGGCCGUCUCUCUAUCCCAUGCCAAGGCAUAGUCUGCUCAUCUCACACGGGACACCGAGCUAGUGCUUUCUUAUUUCAGGCCAGAAUUGAGUUGAAGCCGGCAGAGCUGAGCUGAGAUCCUGGGAUCAUUGGUAUGUGCACUGGCAUCGCGAUUCCUAGUCAAAUUCUUGGUAGCCAACCCAAGUCGAUUAACGUGGGGAAGAGAAAUUGCAGGUUAUCAUUCAACCACCAUUGCCAUCCAUAUGCAUGAAGCCUGGGGACCUGACUCCCUUGCAGAAUGAAGCAUAACCUUUAGAGGGACCAAUUUCAGAGAAAUCGCCACCGCUACCUCCACCCACUCUCACCGCCUCCCUGCAAGCCAGAAUGAGUGUUGCUUUUAGCUCUGUGGCAGCAAAGGAAGCUGCUUGGGCUGCCCACAUGCCAUAUAUGUUCUCAAAGAGUUUGAUGGGCUUCUGCCACUUAAGAAAUUGGUCACAUUUAGAGAUAUUCGCUUCAGUGAACAUGUCAUGGCUGUAUGUAGGAAAAACAUACUAUUAUCUCUAGAGCUUGCCUGAAACAAUAGGCUUGUUCCUGAAACAGAUGUUUUGUGAAACCCACCGUGACAGGCUCAUCAUCCUGGUCUGGAGAUGGGCCAGUACUUAGUUACCAGCCUCGCAAGGACACCAACAUCUCUGCUGGCUGCCCGUUCAUCCCACGCAGCUGAGCUCAAAGGGAGAUACUCCCUGUGGCUCCUCCUUCUGGCUCGUGGGUUCUGAAGUUAAACAUUUUACAAGCUUGAGAAUAUAGACAGAGGCAGUCAGCCAGGUGUGCCUUGGGAAAGAAGUUUCCAGGAUAUUGACUGAGAAUGUUUUAGUGCUGUUCAGCUAGCAUCUAUUGAGGGCCUACUGUGCACCAGGCACUAUUCUAGUUGCUUCCAGUUACAUGAUCUCACAGUAACCCCCAAGGGUACCUAGGUUGGACAUAAGGACACUGGACUCUUACAUCAGUUUCCUAGGGCUGCCUAAAAAGUUACCUCAAACUGCGUGACUUAGAACAACAGAAAUGUCUUCUUUCACAGUGCUGGAGGCCAGAAGUCUGAGAGCAGGGUGUCCGCAGGGCCAUGCCCCCUCCAAAGCUCUAGAGGAGAAUCCUUCCUUGCCUUUUCCAGCAUUUGGUAGCUCUUGGCCAGGUAACAUGACUCCAGCCUCUGCCCUCGGUUCCCAUGGCCUUCUCCUCUGUGUAUGUCUGCAUCAAAUCUCCCUCUAUCUCUCUCCUAUAAGAACAUCUGUCCCCAGAUUUAGGGCUCUCUCUAAAUCCAGAAUGAUCUUGGGAUCCUUAAUUAUAUCUGCAAAGACUCUUUUUUUCCAAAAAAGGUCACAUUCACAGGUUUCAGGGGUUAGGACUUGGAUAUAUCUUCUGGGGGACAGUGUUCAGCCCACUGCAGCCUUCCAGCUGUUACCUAAUGGUUCCCCCAAAGUCACAUAUGGAGAAGGGGUCUCAUAGGGCACGGAACCCAGGCUGGUCAGCUCUGAGCUAAGACACUCUAUGGAGCUUUGAUCAGGUGGCACUCAUCAGGUGCUGCAAGGCAGGCCCUGGUGUCAGUGCUGAGAUAUAAACAUGAAGUGAUGGGCCCUGUUCCUAAGAAAGUUAUAGGCUGGGCACGGUGGCUCAUGCCUGUAAUCCCAGCACUUUGGGAGUCCAAGGCAGAAGGUUUCCUUGAGCCCAGGAGUUAGAGGCCAGCCUGGACAACAUAGAGAAACUCUGUCUCUACUAAAGAUACCAAAACUAGGCAGGAGUGGUGAACUGUGCCUUUAGUCCCAGCUACUUGAGAGGCUGAGGCAAGAGGAUUGCAUGAGGCCAGGAGUUUGGGGCUGCCGUGAGCCAUAAUCACACCAUUGCAGUCCAGCUUGUGCAACAGAGUGAAACCCUGUCUCAAAGAAAGAAAAGAAAGAAAGAAAAAGAGUUGUGGUUGAGUGGGAAGGAGCUAUGCAUAUUGGUUCAGAGUCAGAGUUCUAAGUCCAGCCAAUCCAGAAUCAUAAGCCGGCUUUGCCACUUCUAAGCUGGAUGACCUUGGGCAAAUUAUGCCAUUUUUCUGUGUCUCAUAGGGAAACGGUCUCUUAUGGAAACUGGGAAUCAUAUGAAGAAGAAUCCUAACCUCAAAGGGUCGUGGUGAGAAUCAAAUAAGAGGAUGUGCUUAGCACACAGGUGUCCAAGCAGCGAGAGCUCCAGCAUCCUGACCCCACAGCCUUUGUGGUUAACCACUGCUCACUGCUUUCCACUUGCUAGGAUGCCCCAGAAUAUUUGAAUCAGAGCCUCCAAAUGGAAAACGGACAGUGGAAGACUUCUGUACAAGUCCCCAGAAACCAGGCUGAGGAAGAGGGAGAAUCCGAAGCUGACUUCAGGGUUUUGAGCUUGGCUCACUGGGGUGAUGAAGUUGCCAGUAACAACAUGGAAAUAGCAAGAAGCAGGUUCAAGGGGAUGUAUUAUCUUCAUCCUGGAACGUUGGAUUACCGAGAUGCAAGUGGGCUAUCUGGGUGGAUUUUCUGGCAGGUGUUGGACUUCCAGAAAAUGAUUCUUCAAAGCUACACGAGGACUAAGAGUGUGGGAAAUAAUUGAUCCCAUCUGGGCAAAUUCAAGUGUUUUCCUGGGUGAAGACUUCUGGGGGCAGAGAGCAAACUAGAAAACAGAAAACAGAAGUGGGUACUCAUGGGUUUGUGGUCACGGCAUUCAGUUUUCUUGCCUGCAGAGUGGGUGCCUUGCUUUGUUCUUCCCAAGCUGUUGUUGAGGCUGCAUUAGGUCAGGAAUGGGAAAUUGCCCUGUAGAUUGUGCCCUGAGCUGUGGCGAGAGGCAGCAGACAGUAGCGUCAACCCCAGUCUCCCAAAUGCUGAGCAGGACAGGAGAGGUACAAGUGAAGUGCCCCCUGUCUCUGUGUCAUAGCUGAGAAAUUAAUAAUUGUUCCCUCUUCUGGUUUGAACUGGCCUUUUGAAUAGGCUCUAAAUUUGUUCAUAAUUGCCAAAGGAACGACACAAUAAAAACUGGAAUUUCUCCAUUCCCUGGCAAGGGGGGUGCAUUUGCCAGUGGUUUUUUUUUGUAAAAGUGGGUGUUUUUGUACUUUUCUCCCGAGCAUUGUGGAGCGUUUCUGCUGCCCCUCAUCCCUGGACCACCACCUCCCACACAUCCCCCUUGCCCUCUCCCUCUCCCGCGUGUGUGUUUGGCAGGACGGGGUAGGUCAGUGGAUGUUGCCAUGACAACUGAGAAAGAGACAGCUCUGACUUCAGCUCCGCGCUUGUUAGUAGGGAAACUA
rnacentral:lncRNA from 1 species